rnacentral:rRNA from 1 species
UACGUAGGUGGCGAGCGUUGUCCGGAUUUACUGGGCGUAAAGGGAGCGUAGGCGGACCUUUAAGUGAGAUGUGAAAUACUCGGGCUCAACUUGAAUGCUGCAUUUCAAACUGGAAGUCUAGAGUGCAGGAGAGGAGAAUGGAAUUCCUAGUGUAGCGGUGAAAUGCGUAGAGAUUAGGAAGAACACCAGUGGCGAAGGCGAUUCUCUGGACUGUAACUGACGCUGAGGCUCGAAAGCGUGGGGAGCAAACAGG